UACGGGGGGAGCAAGCGUUGUUCGGAUUCAUUGGGCGUAAAGGGCGCGUAGGCGGUCAGGUCAGUCCGUCAUGAAAUGUACCGGUUCAACCGGGGCACCGUGUCGGAAACUGCCUGGCUUGAGGCCGAGGGAGGAAGGUGGAAUUCCUGGUGUAGCGGUGAAAUGCGUAGAUAUCAGGAGGAACACCCGUGGCGAAGGCGACCUUCUAUCUCGGAUCUGACGCUGAGGCGCGAAAGCUAGGGGAGCAAACGGG
rnacentral:rRNA from 1 species